UUAUGGCCACAUCAUGUUGAAACAUUGGUUCCCGUAUGAUCACCAAAGUUAAGCAACAUCGAGCCUCCUCAGUACUUAGAUGGGGGACCACUUUGGAAUACCAGGAGCUGUAAG